AAUUUAGCCUCUAAUUUCUAUGUCUUAAGAAGAAGUUAUGAGGAUGUAACUUACCAGCUGGCAACACUUUUCAUAUGUCCUUUUCUGUCUCCCCAACUCUCCUGGACCCAUGUUGCUCCACAGCCCCUGUUUACUAACACCUCCCACUCCCACCACGGAAUGCUCCUCCAUCUCAUUUAGCUUUUUGUCUCUUACCCAGUAUUUAGAUUAACUUGCCCUUUCUCCCUGCCUUCUUUUCUGUAACCUGAACCUGUGAUUUUUCUUUCUUUGCCCAUUGUCCAGUUUCCAGUUCUGUGUUAUGGAUGUCAAGGGGUCUAACUGACAGAGGCUAAGUCUCCAUAUGGAAUAAUGUUCAUUCUUCUUUUUUUGUUUUUUUG
rnacentral:lncRNA from 1 species